GUCAUUGUAGUAUAGUGGUAACUAUUCCCACCUGUCACGUGGGUGACCCGGGUUCGAUCCCCGACAACUACG
rnacentral:tRNA from 1 species